UCUGGGCACUGUCUCAACGAGAGACUCGGUGAAAUUAUCGUACCUGUGAAGAUGCAGGUUACCCGCGACAGGACGGAAAGACCCCGUGGAGCUUUACUGCAGCCUGAUAUUGAAUGUUGGUACAGCUUGUACAGGAUAGGUAGGAGCCUUGGAAACCGAAGCUGGCGCUCCGGU
rnacentral:rRNA from 1 species